AGCGAACGCUGGCGGCAGGCUUAACACAUGCAAGUCGAGCGCCCCGCCAGGGGAGCGGCAGACGGGAGAGUAACACGUGGGAACAUACCUUUUGGUUCGGAACCACUGUGGGAAACUUCAGCUACUACCGGAUACGCCCUUACGGGGAAAGAUUUAUCGCCGAAAGCUUGGCCCGCGUCUGAUUAGCUAGUUGGUGAGGUCACGGCGCACCAAGGCGACGAUCAGUAGCUGGUCUGAGAGGAUGAUCAGCCGCACUGGGACUGAGACACGACCCCGACUCCUACGGGAGGGAGCAGAGGGGAAUAGGGGACAAUGGGGGCGACCCUGAUCCAGCCAUGCCGCGUGAGUGAUGAAGGCCUGAGGGUUGUAAAGCUCUUUUGCCCGGGAAGAUAAUGACGGUACCGGGAGAAGAAGCCCCGGCUAACUUCGUG
rnacentral:rRNA from 1 species